AUUAUUAUUAUUAUUAUUAUUUUUUAAAUCUUUCAUUGUUUUUAUCCCCUCUAUUCAGAUUUUAAUCUGAUAAUGUACAUCAUGCUGCUGUACAGACAUGUGAAUCCAUGUCAGAGUGACUGUUUCCUGCUGCUCUCCUGCUAGAUCCUUUGUAGCAGCUCGCCUGUGACAUUUAAACCCCUGAUGACUGGAGUUGGUGAAAAAGGUCAAGUGAGUUGGCGAAAAACUAGUCAUUUUGCGGGUAUAAACGGUGAGUUUAGCUUAGAUUAAUGACUCCUGUGGACUCUGAAUGCCAAGAACUUUUGCAUCUUUUUCUUACUCUACAUUUUGAUCUGCUUGAAAAACUUUGCAUCAUCUUAUAGCAGGACAAAGAGCAGCCUCUGUCUGCAUGCAUACAUCCUGCUAUUGAACGUGAAUAGGAUUGUGUAGCAUUACACGAUGCGAGGAGAGUGCCUUUAGCUUUGAUUUAUUGUGGCAAGGACAGAGUAACAAAGAUAUGUUACUGCGAUGAUGGGAGAAAACCAAUGCCGUGGUGCUACAGGAAGUUAGAAGAUUGAACUAUAAUGUGCAGUUUAUCCCUCCUGUUGUUCUGUUUUAAAAAGGAUAUGUGGUCUAUUUCACUUUCUAUCAGGUUUUCUAUCAUUUCUCAGUUGUUCAUGCAGCAUGAGGUGUGGGGGUGGGGGAUCAGCCUGUCACCUGACUGAAGUGAUCACAUGAAAAAGCACCACAUGUACUCUGCUCUCCGGGAAAACGCAUCCACUCACUCUUCAUUCAUACACAGAUGUGAUGCUCCUUUGAAGUCUCGGAUAGCGAUAAUGCAGUCUUCACACAAACAACAACGCACAUAAUAUCUUAUCCACCCAGUGACCAAGGCCGCUCCCACGAUAGUUGAUUGACAUUGCCGUCUUACCUUACAUUGUUUCGAUGCUGGAGCAGGGACGUAGACAAGAUUGGCUCCUAAGCAAUUGAGGGAAUGCACCCUCCGAUCUACCUAAAAGCAUCUAUGUUCGUGCGAAUCAUGCAUGAUCCAGCUUCACCUACAGAUGAAGUGAGUAUAAGGGUUUUUUAUGAAUCUUUGCAAAUCACCUUUCCUAAUAAUGUGCUAGUUAAAUGCAGCUAAAUGUGGCUAAAGUAAACAGGAUGGCUCGUCACCCCACAGAAGAGAGGGUCAGGGUGAGCAGAGCUCAUUAGCAUUUAAAGGGAAAUGCAACAAAACAGGUUGCUGUGAAAAGAGCUGACUUUAACAAGGUAAAAAGGGUGUUGUUUACACAGAGCCUAUUAGGACCCUAAAGAAUCAUAUCAACUUGUGGAAAAUGGGCAUCCGAUGACCCCUUUAAAGGGAUAGUUCACACAAAAAUGACCAUUCUGAAAUCAUUUGCACACCCUUGUGUCAUUCCAGACCUGUACAACUGUAUGACAUUUCUUUUGUGAAACAGAAGAGGAUAUUCAAAAGAAUGUCUGUGUUUUUGUCCAUACAAUUAAUGUCAGUGUUGUUGUCAUGCUGUUUGGAUGACUGACUUUCAAAAAAAAAAAAUUGUGUUAUGCAGAAGGAAAGUCAUAGGGAUUUGGAAUGACAUGAGGAUGAGUAAAUGACAGGAUUGUCAUUUUGGGGUCAACUGGCCCAUAAGUGACUGUAAUUCUAUAACCUUCAUUGAGACAAAAUACAAAACUAAAUUGGAUCUCAUCCCAGAACAAACCACAGAGAACUGCUUAGUAAAUCAACCAAACUGUGAACACAACUUUUUCAAAACAAUGGUUUCUAUUCAAGGUAAUGGGAUGCAAAAGCCUGUUAUGUGGACAUAUAUUCUGUAAAGUUUGAGGGAACUGUUGUUUGAUAUCCCUUAAGGCCAGUAUGAAGUCAGGCUGGAUAAUGGGCUGCUUUCAUAGCAAGCUUUAUUCUGUGCCUCUGUGGAGAGAUGCAGGAUUAUGGAGAGGUUAUUGUUGCCUUGACUUUUCUUACUGAGCUGCUUUGAUAAAUGAGCCACAGCAGGUACUUAAUAAUAAACAGAAUUUGUGGAGCACUGAUACGAUUCAAAAUUAGCCUGCAGAUUUUAUCUCCUGCAGUUAAAGUAAUACAUUUAUAUAAUUUGUAUAUAAUCAUUUCCAAUGACUUACAUUUUGGUGAAUGUGGGUUUCCAUAUUUUUAAUUAAUAUGCAUUUUUUCUCCCUUUUUUAAAAUCUUUUCUGACUCCCCCAGUCUUCCUACCUGCAAUCUGCUAAAAGUACCAAUUUCUCUGAUUAAUCUAUUGUCUAUUUUGCUAAUCCAUAUGUGGAUGUUUGCAUGUCUGAAUCCACCUCUUCCUGACUAGUGCGCACCUGUUCUGUGGCAUUAAGUGUACGACUGCAGUCUAAGAGGUGGGUGAGUGGCUCACUCCGAGUGAAUCAUGAGCGCUCGAGGGAAGCUGCAGAAGUAAUGCAUGCCUGCCUCCACCUCUUUCCUUUGCCAUGACUUUUGUCUCCUCAGGUUAGUGUAAAAUGGAGCCUAUUACAAUAUUGCUCCUCUCACAUUUCCCCUGAUGGAGCGCUUGAUCUGGCCCGAGAGAACAGAGUAGAGAUGCAGGAUUUAUUUAAUGCUUUAUUUCCCCUUCUGCUGAGUGCACAGUUCCAGCGUGUGUGCCGCUGCCCCUGGGGAACGAUGGUGUGCCACUACUGAUCCACAUCUAUUACAUGAUGCUUCUAAGCCAGGAAUCCUUCCUCAACCACAUUGGAAUGCACAUUCUGUGUGCAAACAGCUUCUGAUUCUGUAGAAUCAUGGAUAAUGGAUGCUUGUAGAAUCAUGAAAUCCAGCCUGCUCUGACGUCACAUGCAUUUCAUCAAUGACACAUUUCAUGGUCCUGAUGAGAAGAUAAGAGUCGAAAAAAUAAGUCUCCUGUGAAAUAGCAGUGUGUUCUGGGAGGUUGCAGACAGAAGGAAAGAGAAUCAAUACAGAAAUGGAACUCUUGGAAAUAUGAGCAUGAAGAGAGAGAGACGGAAAUGCUACUUUAUUUGCCUUCUCUUCUGAAAUCCAUCAAAUCAGGGAUGACAGGCGUGGAGAGAAUUUCUUUCACUAUUGAUUUUUCUUUUAGUUUUGUGUUCCCAGGGAAGAACGGUCUGUACACAGCAAACGCAUUUGCUUAGUCUGUGAAGUUGACAAAAAAAGGAAAGUACUGGAAUUCAGCCUUACAUUCCAUUGAGUGCUGAAUAAAAACAACAGAGCAUGAAUAUACAACAUUGGCAAGGAAUAAGGAAGAGGUGCAGAGUAGGGCACUUUUAAGAGGGUUUUGAAGAAAGCGACUGAAAAAGCCGUGUGAUCAGAAGCAAUCACUUACAAACAUCACCUUGUAUUUGAUUCUUUUCUGGCCACUUGAUUGGCUCUAUCUCUCUCUCCUCUCCACCUGUAGCUGGUGUGUGGUGAGCGCACUGGCACCGUUGUCCUGUGGCUGCCGUCGCAUCAUCCAAGUGGAUGCUGCACACUGGUGGUGGAUAAGGAGAGACCCCCCACAUGAUUGUAAAGCGCUUUGGGUGUAUAGCAAUACACAAUAAAAGCGCUAUAUAAAUGCUUCAUUCCUUCCUACCUACUGUUUUUCAAAAAGAAUAAAAAGCAAUAAAAUAUGUGAGAUUUGCAUGUUGUACAGUUUGUAGAAGUCAAUGUAGUGUGUUCUUUUUGAAUACUUGCUGAUAUAUAUUUUUAAAAUCAU